UACAGAGGUCUCAAGCGUUGUUCGGAUUCAUUGGGCGUAAAGGGUGCGUAGGCGGCUCGUUAGGUAGGGUGUGAAAGCCCCCGGCUCAACCGGGGAAUUGCGCCCUAAACCGGCGGGCUCGAGUGAGAUAGGGGUGUGUGGAACUUCCGGUGGAGCGGUGAAAUGUGUUGAUAUCGGAAGGAACGCCGGUGGCGAAAGCGACACACUGGGUCUCGAACUGACGCUGAGGCACGAAAGCCAGGGGAGCAAACGGGGAUUAGAUACCC
rnacentral:rRNA from 1 species